GGGUAUGUAGAGUAAUGGCAACUCAUCAGACUUCUAAUCUGAGGAUUGCGGGUUCGAGUCCCGUCAUACCCU